rnacentral:rRNA from 1 species
GUGGGGAAUUUUGGACAAUGGGCGCAAGCCUGAUCCAGCAAUGCCGCGUGCAGGAAGAAGGCCUUCGGGUUGUAAACUGCUUUUGUACGGAACGAAACGGUCCUGGUUAAUACCUGGGGCUAAUGACGGUACCGUAAGAAUAAGCACCGGCUAACUACGUGCCAGCAGCCGCGGUAAUACGUAGGGCGCGAGCGUUAAUCGGAAUUACUGGGCGUAAAGCGUGCGCAGGCGGUGCUGUAAGACAGGCGUGAAAUCCCCGGGCUCAACCUGGGAAUUGCGCUUGUGACUGCAGUGCUGGAGUACGGCAGAGGGGGAUGGAAUUCCGCGUGUAGCAGUGAAAUGCGUAGAUAUGCGGAGGAACACCGAUGGCGAAGGCAGUCCCCUGGGCCUGUACUGACGCUCAUGCACGAAAGCGUGGGGAGCAAACAGGAUUAGAAACCCCUGUAGUCC